rnacentral:rRNA from 1 species
UACGGACGGGGCAAGCGUUGUUCGGAAUCAUUGGGCGUAAAGGGCGCGUAGGUGGUUCUGUGUGUCUACCGUGAAAGCGUACGGCUCAACCGUAUUUUGUCGGUAGAAACUGCAGGACUUGAGGCUGGGAGGGGCUGGUGGAAUUCCCUGUGUAGCGGUGAAAUGCGUAGAGAUGGGGGAGAACACUCGUGGCGAAGGCGGCCAGCUAGACCAGUUCUGACACUGAGGCGCGACAGCGUGGGGAGCAAACAGG